UACGGAGGGUGCAAGCGUUGUCCGGAUUUAUUGGGUUUAAAGGGUGCGUAGGCGGCCCAUUAAGUCAGCGGUGAAAGCCCGGGGCUCAACCCCGGAACCGCCGUUGAUACUGGUGGGCUUGAGUAUGGACGAGGUUGGCGGAAUUGAGGUUGUAGCGGUGAAAUGCUUAGAUACCCUCAAGAACACCGAUUGCGUAGGCAGCUAACUAGGCCAUAACUGACGCUGAGGCACGAAAGCGUGGGGAGCGAACAGG
rnacentral:rRNA from 1 species